AGUUUCUGUCAAGUUCAUGCAAGACCAUAUCAUUUGGUUGCUUCUCCUACAUCCAAAUGCAAGAGUCCUUUAAAGACUCCUGCAUACAGCUAUAGGAUGAGGAAGAAAAAUAACUCUCAGCCUUCAACAUAGCUUCACACAGAACAGUGUCUUCAGGAGACAGUCAGGUCCAGCUCACAGCUUUCCUGAGUAGGGGAAAUCUGACUUCAAAUAAGCACUCAUAAAUAUGCAAAAAAAAUUUCAAGAGCAGCUCUUGCCUUCCCCAGAGCCUCGUUUCUGGAACGACACUCUGCCUCUAAGCACACAAGUUCCAGAAUGAUGAACUGUACAGCUCCUGUGUCAGUUAUAGCCAAGAUAUCUCGGGUGUUGGGUUAUAUCUACAGUUAAGGCCAUUCCAGAACAAGAGCAUAGAAUUAGAAGGCAGUUUAGCCAAAAGCCUGUUCUUUGGCAUUCUAUUUUGGUUUGGUAGAAUUAGUCUGGUCACCUCUCUGACUCUGCUUUCAUGGACCUCAGAACCUGCUGGAUCUACUCGCUUGUGCUUCAUGCUAUGCAAAGCAGCAGAAUUAAUUCCAGGCUUCGAAUGACCAUGAAAGAAGUUGCACAGCAAACAGAUUGCCUGUAUACUUCCAGGUUGAAAGUUUGGGGAAAGUAAGAUUAACUAAGACUGCUACACAGGCUAAAUCUCUUUUUGUUCCCUUACCAUGCCAA